GGAUGAAGAACGUAGCGAAAUGCGAUACGUAAUGUGAAUUGCAGAAUUCAGUGAAUCAUCGAGUCUUUGAACGCACAUUGCGCCCUCUGGUAUUCCGUAGGGCAUGCCUGUCCGAGCGUCAUUGCUGCCCUCAAGCACGGCUUGUGUGUUGGGCCCCGCCCCCCGAUCCCGGGGGGCGGGCCCGAAAGGCAGCGGCGGCACCGCGUCCGGUCCUCGAGCGUAUGGGGCUUUGUCACCCGCUCUGUAGGCCCGGCCGGCGCCUGCCGAUCAACCAAACUUUUUUCCAGGUUGACCUCGGAUCAGGUAGGGAUACCCGCUGAACUUAAGCAUAUCAAUAAGCGGAGGA
rnacentral:misc_RNA from 1 species